ACUUGUACCUUUUCAUCCUAAACUAAGAAAAAUUACUUCUUUUUAAUAAAACUUUAGAGACCAAUACCAACUCAAACUACAAAAGUAAUUUUCUUAUUCACUAAUUUAAUAUAACUGGUCUUUCAACAAGUGCAUAGCAUGCAAACUUUUUAGCUUGUUAAAUGAAUGUAGAAAAUUUGAGGUCAACCAAAAAAUCACAUGAUAACAAAAUUCAACGGAUUUAAUUUCAAAAAGUACAAAAGAUCAUUUGAAACAAAAGGUAUAAAAGAACAUAAAAAAGUAUUCCAAAAUGAAAGUGAAAAAUGAGAGAGAAUUAAAAGUGAUUUUGUGGUUGUUUGGGCCCAAACUAAGGUGGAUUGCAGUGGGUUAUAAUAAUCCACUCCUUGUUUGGAGUCCAUAUUAUGGAAACAAUAGUUUUAGGAUUUACAUAGUAUUUCCUCUGUUCCAUGUCUAAACCGUCCUAUACUUCUCGUGUUCUUCCUCUACUCCCACUUCUCUUUUCGUCUUCCUCCCAAAAACGCUUGGGUAUGGGUUUGUAGUCGUUGUCAUCUCUGAAGGUAAUUCGUUCCGACGUAACACAUGUAUUCGUUUUCCUCUCCUUUUCGUUUUGUCUUCUAUUUGCAUUUCUUCUCUUAAUGGGUUUCUCCUUCUCUCCGAAUCUGUCCUUAGUUUCAUUGAAGGCUUCAUUUUCACGUGUUGUCUUAGAAACAUUUUUCUCUCCUCUCUUCGGUUUCGUUGAACGGCUGGGCUCCCAUCUUGCCUCUGAAACUGCUCCUUAUAUGUUCGAAGAGUCUUCUAGGUGAACAUACAAGUAUUUCGUCAUUGUCGCUCGUACUUUCCCUUGACUGAGAAUGGGCAGAUGCUACAUCUGGAGUGGGCAUUGGAGAUUUUCGAGCAAGGAUGCCCAAGUUCAUAAUUGAAAUUUCAGAGGUACUAGGGGUUCCUUUGUUUUCAAGUAAGUUCUUUUUUUGUUGGUCUUAUUUUGAUGGUUAGUAUGUUGUAAUACUAAAGGAAACAUUUGUCACAAACAAUGGUCAUGUAAAACAUUGUAUGCGGACUGCCUUUUCUUUAAUCUAAUAUAUUCCUUCCAUUUUCAUCUUU